GACGAACGCUGGCGGCGUGCCUAAUACAUGCAAGUCGAACGCAGUGGGGACGGGGGAGUAACACGAGGGUAACCUCCCAUCAGAGGGGAUAACACUUGGAAACAGGUGCUAAACCGAUACUGAUGGAUGGACCCUCGGUGCAUUAGCUAGUUGGUGAGGUAACGGCGCACGAAGGCCACGAGGCAUAGGUCACUUGGUAGGGGUAUCGCGCACUCUGAACCUGAUGCAGGGCCGAUAACCCAUCGGUAGGCUGCAUUAGGGAAUCUUCGGAAAGUGACGAAAGUCUGACAGAGCAACACAGCGAGAGUGAAGAAGGUGUUCGGAUCGUAAAACCCUGUUGUUAGAGAAGCGGUAUCUAACCAGAAAGCCACGGCUAACUACGUGCCAGCCGCCGCGGUAAUAC
rnacentral:rRNA from 1 species